UUGAAGCUUUUGUUGCUGAGAUAUCCUUAACCGAUCUGUGAAAUUUUUGGGUUCUGAGACAGGGAGAGAGAAGUCACUAAUCAACCUGCCUAGAAGAAAAGCUUACAAGUAAGUAAACCAUCAACAACGUUUCUUGAAUCUAAUUCAAGAUCUUGAAAUCUUGCUAUUUGUUAUCAAAUCAUUAUUCACCGAAAAGUUUAGCUCUUCGUUGUCUGUAUCCAAAAGAAGAAAAGUUGGGAACCGUUGGAGGUACGAUGUGUUCUUAAAUUUCCGUGGGAAAGAAUUGCGAAGCAAUUUUAUAUCCCAUCUGUACAAGAGUCUAGUAAGUUGUGGGAUAAGCACAUUCAAGGACGAUCAAGAGGAGAAAACAUUUUCAAACGCCUGAUGACAAACCCAAAAUCCACAUAGUCGUUUUUUCCUAGAAGUAUGUAUGCUUCAUUAAGUUGCAGCAGUUGAAGGCUGCCCUUCAUGAUGUUGCUGGGGUGAUGGGGUUUACCAUGCCUAAGGAUGACUUCAUGUUUGUUUGUGUUCUGUUCUCCUAAACAAAUGUUACAGUGACUGGAUUUCUUAUUGCCAUUUGUGAUUUGCCCUUGUGCAGUGGUAGUAGUGAGUCAGAAUUUGUGGACAAGAGAAAUUCUCAAACGACUUCGUAUUUCAUACUUGUAUUUUCCAACAUAUGGUGUUGGUCACGCGUACACUGUAUCAAUGAGCUGAUGUGUUUUGGUUUGGAUGAUGUCUUCAUGAUCAGAAUCUGUGGUAUGAGUGGGAUUGGUAAAACGACUCUUGCCAAGGCUGCUUAUAAUGAAUCCGCACAUCUUUUUGAAGGAACAUGUUUCCUAGAAAACUUUGGAGAACUCUUGAAGAAAAGGUUCAUCUUCAGCGACUACUUCUUUCUGAUAUCUUAAGGAGGCGUGACAUUGUCUUCAACAACACGGAUGAUCCAGUCAAGCAUAGAUUCCAGAGUAAAAAGGUACUUGUUGUGGUUGAAGACGUGAUUCAGCUUACUUCAGUCGGAAUAGAUUUGAGCUGUUUUGAACCAGGAAGUAGGAUAAUCAUUACAACCAAAAACAGCCAUUUGCUAGAGCAGCUCAAUGUUGUAAGUAAAUAUUCACAAAACCAUUAAGCGAUGAUGAGUGUCUUGAACUCGCGAGUUGGCAUGCCUUUAGAAAAAAUGAACCUCCUGAAGCGUCUCAGAAAAAGCUGGUUGAAUACCGUGGAGGACUACCCUUGGCUAUGGAAUUCUUGGGUGCUUUUCUCUUCAUUCUGCAGUGGAAAAGAACGUUAUAAUCAUUGAAAAGAAUACCCAAUAGUAACAUUCAAGCAAAGCUUCAGAUAGACUUUGAUGCGCUAAAUGCAUUAGAGAAAAAUAUAUUGUUGGAUAUAUCUUGCUUCUUCAUUGGAAUGGAUAAAGACUAUGUAAGCUACAUAUUUGAUGGAUGCAAAUUAGAUCCUGGCAUAGGACUAUCUCUGAAUAGCUGCGAAAGAUGUGGGAUUCUAAAAAGGAAACUGAUGCCAUAAAAGGAAGCAGCCUCAAGGCCUACGUUACAGCUAUUGAGACAUUUUCAAAUAUACGGAGGCUGCAACUGUUAGAGCGCAGUGAUGUAUCGCUCAUUGGAGACUAUGAACUUUUUUCGAAAGAUUUGCGAUGCCUUUGCUGGUUAAAGUUUCCUCUGGAUUCCAUUCCAGCAAACUUGCAUUUAGGAAGCCUAGUUGUAAUGGACUUGCAAUACAGAAGUCUUAAAAUACUUUGGGAUAAUAAGACACAAGUCCUGAAAAAGUUGAAGUAAUUUAACCUCAGUCAUGCUGUCCAUCUUAUAGAGACUCCAGACUUUCUUAAUCUACCAAACCUCGAGACACUGCUCUUGAAAAAUUAUGAAAAAUUGGUCGUGGUUCACAAUUCUAUAGGGUCUUCACAAGAUGAUGCUAUUAAAUCUGAAAGGCUGCACUGAGCUUAGUGACCUCCCUUUGGACAUUUGUACGUUGAAGUCGCUGAAAACUAUCAUUCUAUCAGGAUGCUCAAAACUUGAGAGAUUGGAUGAUGCUUUAGGUGAACUGGAAUCCCUGAAAACUCAUAAAGUGAAUCAUACCGCUCUUACGCAACUCCCCUAUUCGAGUCAUCAACUCAAGAAAAUCUUGAAGGCUGCAAAAUUUUAUGGAAAGGCAAAGACUACACUCAUUCUCAAGAUAGUCCUCAGGCUGCUCUAUCGCGUCCAUUCUCAUUACACGGGUUAAGCAGUUUGAUGACUUUACGUUUAGGUUCCUGCAAUCUAUCUGAUCAAUUGUUUCCUGAGAGUUUUCCUUCUCUCGGAGAAAUUGAUCUUGGAGACAACAACUUUCGUAACUUACAAACGGAUUUUGCCGGCCUUCCAAAACUACCUAUUAUUAGACUGGACCGUUGCUCAGGACUCCAAUCAAUGCUCAGCUUACCAAAAGAAUUGAGAUCUUUACAUGCAAGUAACUGUAUCAUGUUGGAAACAACUCCGGAUUUAACAGAGUGAACAGUGCUGCACCUCACAAAUUGUUCAAGUCUUGUUGAGACCCCGGGGGCUGGAUCAACUGAAAACCGUUGGAGUCAUCCACAUGGAAAUGUGCAGCCGCAUAACCGAUACUUACAGAGAAAGUAUCAUGCAGAUUUUUUUCCAUCAUAAUCUCUACUUGAAGAACCUUAUGCUGCUCUACUUAUGUUUAACGCCACUUCUAGGAAUGUGUCAUAUGCUGUAGUUAUAUGAUGGUAUUGUGGGAGCCAACACGGGGAUUUUUAUCCAGCGUCCCAAAUUGGGUUAUGUUCAAGAAUGAAGGGAACUCGAUCUCUUUUACGGUGUCUGAAGCUGUAAAUCUUGAGUUGGAUGGUUUACAUUGUGGGCAUCAUAUGCGAGUCAGCACGACUAAGUGAUGUGUGGAGACUGUCCACAGAUCACAGUACAGAAUCAAACAAAAGGAAUUGUAUGGAGUCGCAACCCAGCAACAGAUAGGAUUCACAUGCACCGUAAAAACAUAUAUGGCAAGGACACGUUUCGAAUAAAGAGGUCAUUUGGGAAACAGGGAAUCAAGUGAAAGUUUCUUUGAAUUUUGGAGAUGAAGUCAUCAUUCUUGAGAUGUGAUUAACUUUUGCUUACCAAGAAGUCCGAGAUGAACAAUUGACUCAAAUAGAUCAUGAUGUACUCUUAGAUGAAAGCCAAAGCAGACCUUACAGAUAAAGAUAAAAUUUGGAUUCCAGGAAAAUGAAAGAGGUCUAAAGACACUUCUAGGGGCAUUUGGUGUGUUUGCAUUCUUAUUAUUAUUGGAAAAAAUGGUGGAACCCUGCGCAGCCGCAACAGCCAUUAUAGCAUCAAAGGUGGAAAAGAUAAGGAGACAGACAAUAGACUCGAAUUCUUCUCUCGUCAAGGUUUCUUAGAUUAUUACUAGGUUGGUUUCUUGAUUUAGCUACUGACGGGAAAAAAAGAGUUGUCACUCAUAUUAUGUUGUGUUGUAUUACAUUGCAAGAGCCAUUGAUAAUCC